GACGAACGCUGGCGGCGUGCCUAAUACAUGCAAGUAGAACGCUGAAGGAGGAGCUUGCUUCUCCGGAUGAGUUGCGAACGGGUGAGUAACGCGUAGGUAACCUGCCUGGUAGCGGGGGAUAACUAUUGGAAACGAUAGCUAAUACCGCAUAACAGUAGAUGUUGCAUGACAUUUGCUUAAAAGGUGCAAUUGCAUCACUACCAGAUGGACCUGCGUUGUAUUAGCUAGUUGGUGAGGUAACGGCUCACCAAGGCGACGAUACAUAGCCGACCUGAGAGGGUGAUCGGCCACACUGGGACUGAGACACGGCCCAGACUCCUACGGGAGGCAGCAGUAGGGAAUCUUCGGCAAUGGACGGAAGUCUGACCGAGCAACGCCGCGUGAGUGAAGAAGGUUUUCGGAUCGUAAAGCUCUGUCGUAAGAGAAGAACGAGUGUGAGAGUGGAAAGUUCACACUGUGACGGUAUCUUACCAGAAAGGGACGGCUAACUACGUG
rnacentral:rRNA from 1 species